UACAGAGGUCCCAAGCGUUGUUCGGAUUCACUGGGCGUAAAGGGUGCGUAGGCGGUUUGGUAAGUCUUAUGUGAAAUCUACAGGCUCAACUUGUAGUCUGCAUGAGAAACUGCCGGGCUUGAGUAUGGGAGAGGUGAGUGGAAUUCCUGGUGUAGCGGUGAAAUGCGUAGAUAUCAGGAGGAACACCUGUGGCGAAAGCGGCUCACUGGACCAUAACUGACGCUGAUGCACGAAAGCUAGGGGAGCAAACAGG
rnacentral:rRNA from 1 species